UNAGGCGGGCUGGAUCCCUCCUGCUGGGCACUGCUUCACGGCGUGCGCAGUAGGGGCCGGCCCUGCUGAACUAUUCACCCGUGUCUUUUGCGUACCUCUUGUUUCCUGGGCGGGCUCGCCCGCCACCAGGACCAACCAUAAACCUUUUUGUAAUAGCAAUCCGCGUCAGUAACAACGUAAUUAAUUACAACUUUCAACAACGGAUCUCUUGGUUCUGGCAUCGAUGAAGAACGCAGCGAAAUGCGAUACGUAGUGUGAAUUGCAGAAUUCAGUGAAUCAUCGAAUCUUUGAACGCACAUUGCGCCCUUUGGUAUUCCAAAGGGCAUGCCUGUUCGAGCGUCAUUUGUACCCUCAAGCUUUGCUUGGUGUUGGGCGUCUUUGUCUCCAGCUUGCUGGAGACUCGCCUUAAAGUCAUUGGCAGCCGGCCUACUGGUUUCGGAGCGCAGCACAAGUCGCGCUCUUCAUCCAGCCAAGGUCAGCGUCCAGCAAGCCUUUUUUCAACCUUUGACCUCGGAUCAGGUAGGGAUACCCGCUGAACUUAAGCAUAUCAUAGGCCGGGAGGAAA
rnacentral:rRNA from 1 species